GUGGGCGUGCCCCCCACUCACACCAAACCACUCGGUGUCACUGCUGCUACUGUUUUUCAAAAAUAAAAACUAUUUGCUUUAACUGUCUCAAUUAUGUGUUUUUACUACUUUUGCAUCCCCACAAAAAUUCGGGGGCCCCCAGUCACCAAAGAGGGGCCCAGAGACACAGGCCCACAGGCGAGGUACUGGCUGUGUUAGGAAUGAAUGAAAUCCAGAAGCUGAAACAUAGUUCAACCUCGGUAAAUGCACUGUCCUUCUUAUACUCCUGAUGGCCACCUGCUUACUGGACACCACUCUUCGACUUCCAGGGGCCCAAAAACACUUUUCUGUUGAUGCAAAAAAUCCCAAAAUGGGGCUAGAGAGCUUAGGGCUCUUUCUCCUAGGUUUGCACAGCAACAGUGGCUGGUAGGUUUAGUGUGUGUGGUGCAGUUCACGUUUCCUCAAAGAAAUAAACACUGUGCAUGUCACUUCAUCGGUGUAGAUGAAGGAAAUAAAUUUUAUUUGACUCUCUUGUCUUUUUAAUUACACUCCAUUUGAUUCUCUUCUCGUAUGUGUGGCUCUCUACAUCACCCAGUCUCAUGAUGGAGGCCCAAAAUCAGGUGUCCAAGGCCUGUCGCGACGUUUCGGAUUUUUCUGAUCCUUCUUCAGGCGAGCGUUGGACACAAAUGGCUGGAAUUCUCUACAGCAGCCAUUCUCAUGAUGGAGGCCCAAAAUCAGGUGUCCAAGGCCUGUCGCGACGUUUCGGAUUUUCUGAUCCUUCUUCAGGCGAGCGUUGGACACAAAUGGCUGGAAUUCUCUACAGCAGCCAUUCUCAUGAUGGAGGCCCAAAAUCAGGUGUCCAAGGCCUGUCGCGACGUUUCGGAUUUUCUGAUCCUUCUUCAGGCGAGCGUUGGACACAAAUGGCUGGAAUUCUCUACAGCAGAGGGUUAGGGUUAGGAAUGAAUGAAAUCCAGAAGCUGAAACAUGGUUCAACCUCGGUAAAUGCACUGUCCUUCUUAUACUCCUGAUGGCCACCUGUUUACUGGACACCACUCUUCGACUUCCAGGGGCCCAAAAACAUCUUUCUGUUGAUGCAAAAAAUCCCAAAAUGGGGUUAGGGUUAGGUUAGGGUUAGGGUUAGGGUUAGGUUAGGUUAGGUUAGGGUUAGGGUUAGGGUUAGAGUUAGGGUUAGGGUUAGGGUUAGGUUAGGGUUAGGGUUAGGGUUAGGUUAGGGUUAGGGUUAGGGUUAGGGUUAGGGUUAGGGUUAGGGUUAGGGUUAGGGUUAGGGUUAGGGUUAGGGUUAGGGUUAGGGUUAGGGUUAGGGUUAGGGUUAGGGUUAGGGUUAGGGUUAGGGUUAGGGUUAGGGUUAGGGUUAGGGUUAGGGUUAGGGUUAGGUUAGGUUAGGGUUAGGGUUAGGGUUAGGGUUAGGGUUAGGGUUAGGGUUAGGGUUAGGGUUAGGGUUAGGGUUAGGGUUAGGGUUAGGGUUAGGGUUAGGGUUAGGGUUAGGGUUAGGGUUAGGGUUAGGGUUAGGGUUAGGGUUGGUUAGAUUAGGGUUAGGUUAGGGUUAGGGUUAGAGUUAGAGUUAGGGUUGGGAUUAGGGGUUAGGGGUUAGGGUUAGGGUUAGGGUUAGGGUUAGGGUUAGAGUUAGGGUUAGGUUAGGUUAGGUUAGGGUUAGGGUUAGGGUUAGGGUUAGGGUUAGGAAUGAAUGAAAUCCAGAGGCUGAAACAUAGUUCAACCUCGGUAAAUGCACUGUCCUUCUUAUACUCCUGAUGGCCACCUGUUUACUGGACACCACUCUUCGACUUCCAGGGGCCCAAAAAUAUUUUUCUGUUGAUGCAAAAAAUCCCAAAAUGGGGCUAGAGAGCUUAGGGCUCUUUCUCCUAGGUCUGCACAGCAACUGUGGCUGGUAGGUUUAGUGUGUGUGGGGCAGUUCACGUUUCCCCAAAGAAAUAAACAUUGUGCAUGUCACUUCAUCGGUGUAGAUGAAGGAAAUAAAUUUUAUUUGACUCUCUUGUCUUUUAAAUACACUUUGUGUGACUCUCUUCUCAUAUGUGUGGCUCUCUACAUCACCCAGUCUCAUGAUGGAGGCCCAAAAUCGGUGUCCAAGGCCUGUCGC
ensembl:lncRNA